AGAUGAGCAAUAUUAUGAGAUGAGGGAACCAUUCUCUGUUAUGUCUUUGGUGAAGAGCCCAAUGGGUCUGAUGGUUGGAUUCAUGGUGGUUGUGAUGUUUUUGAUGCCAAAAUUGGUAGAGAAUAUGGAUCCUGAAGAAAUUAGGAAAGCACAAGAGGAAAUGAGAAGCCAAGGAGUUCCCAGUCUUUCAAGCUUGUUACCUGGGGCACAAAGGAGUAACUAGUGAUUGUAUGAAGAACAUUGAAGCUUUGCACUGAUACAAAAGGGAAUAUUCUCUUGCUGCCAUUUUUAUGGAAAAGUUGAAAUGAUGUAAAACUUUAGUUCUGAUUCAUCUCAGGCUGUAUGUUUCUAAUGACCACAAGUAGUUCAAUUGUUAACCUUAAAAAUCCUUUGUCUCUUCUGUUAAAAUGUCACAUCUUUAAGUACCCCUUAUCAGGCUUUGAUGUGAAAUUGUUUUUCCCUACUUUGAAGUAGAUUAUAAAAAGAAGUUGAGUACCUG
rnacentral:misc_RNA from 1 species